rnacentral:rRNA from 1 species
UGAGGAAUAUUGGUCAAUGGGCGAGAGCCUGAACCAGCCAAGUCGCGUGAAGGAAGACAGUCCUAAGGAUUGUAAACUUCUUUUAUACGGGAAUAACGGGCGAUACGAGUAUUGCAUUGAAUGUACCGUAAGAAUAAGCAUCGGCUAACUCCGUGCCAGCAGCCGCGGUAAUACGGAGGAUGCGAGCGUUAUCCGGAUUUAUUGGGUUUAAAGGGUGCGUAGGUUGUUCGGUAAGUCAGCGGUGAAACCUGAGCGCUCAACGUUCAGCCUGCCGUUGAAACUGCCGGGCUUGAGUUCAGUGGCGGCAGGCGGAAUUCGUGGUGUAGCGGUGAAAUGCAUAGAUAUCACGAGGAACUCCGAUUGCGAAGGCAGCUUACCAUACUGCGACUGACACUGAAGCACGAAGGCGUGGGUAUCAAACAGG